CCCCUAGAUGUUCUGGUCCUCACGCGCGCUACACUGAACAGUUCAACAAGUCUUAACCUUGGCCGAUAGGUCUGGGUAAUCUUUGAACGCUGUUCGUGAUUGGGAUAGACCUUUGCAAUUAUGGGUCUUCAACGAGGAAUUCCUAGUAAACGCAAGUCAUCAGCUUGCAUUGAUUACGUCCCUGCCCUUUGUACACACCGCCCGUCGCACCUACCGAUUGAAUGGUCCGGUGAAAUCUCGGGACGGCGGCUUGGUCGCUUGCGUCCGACUGCUGAAACUUGAUUAAACCAUAUCAUUUAGAGGAAGGUGAAGUCGUAACA
rnacentral:rRNA from 1 species